AGUCACGUGAGGCGCCAAGAUGGCGGCGUCCGAGCGACCGAGUUGGUCUGAAUCGAGGGAUGCUGGUGUGGUGCAGGAGGGAACUAGGGAAGCGCCCCAGGACAUCAAGAUGGCACUUUAUAAACAUGGUCAGCUGAUUCCUUCUCUAGGAGAUGCAAAGUUCAGAAGCCCAAUACUCACUGAAAUUAUAGAAAAGAAGUUUGAAUAUUAUAGAAACGAUGAGUAAGAGACACAGUGAUAACUGAUUCAACGACCUUACUUGUGCAUCCUUCCUAUUCCAAGUCUGAGGGACUUUAAAUACAUAUGGAACUUUAGCCUUUGGAACAAGUAGUGGUUUGUCUGGCAUAAUGGCAAACUUAGUUUUCAGAAACAGUUUCAAGGUUAAAUAUGAAGCUUUGAAGACCUAUGCAUCCUUGACUACACUUCCAUUUUUGGCUACCAUCGUUACUUACAAGCUCUUUGUAACUGAUGCUUUGCAAUCAGGUGACCUAAGCAAGGAGAGCUGUAUUCUCAGAAGUUCACUGAUUGGCGUAGCGUGUGGUGUCUCAUAUCCCAGUGCUUUGGCUUUUUAUAAAAAUGGACGUUUGGCAGUUAAGUAUCAGACUGUUCCGCUGCCACCAAAGGGAAGAGUUAUGCUCCACUGGCUUCUCCUUUGUCAAACUGGGAUGAAAGCAAUGGCCAUUCCUCUGUUCUUUCAGAUAUUAAUGGGAGUGUUUAGUGGCAUACAUCACUAUGGUGUGUGUGAAAAAACAUAUGCAAGACCUGUGCCUGAUGAUUAACCAAAGAAUCAAUGGAGCCAGUUCAGUGGAAUGAACUUCUUUAUAAUAUGGACUUUAGCACUGGUCUAAGAGUGAAAAGUAACUCUGCUACUUUUGCCUAGUAUAUAUCAGAUACUCAGUAAUUAUAAAUGUUAAACAAAAACAAGUUUCUUCUUUCUUUCUUCAUUGUAUAUAGGAAUGGGUUUGGAGCUCAGAUCUGACAGCACAGAUACAGUGAGUAUCUGGUAUGCAUCACACACUAUGUGUAUAAUAAGAAAUGAUCCCUAAAGAAAGACUUCUUAGAAGAGGAGUAAGAAAUAUGAACACGUGUUAUAAGAUAGUGUGAGGAUACACACAUACUUUAAGAUAAUGUGAGGAUACACACAUACUUUGAGGGAACUGAGACUGUAACUGUUAACUAUUUAGACAGACAAUGUUUUAGGGAAAAGUAACAUGAGCUAAAUGUUAAAGGAGGAAUUGGAAGGUCAUAAGAAAGGAAAACGUGGGAAAGUAUAGAAGAUGAGAGCAAGCCUGAGACGACCCCCAGCUCAGUACCACAGGGCCCAGGUGAGCAGACUAUAUCCAACAUGUCCCCUGCCUGGGCAGAGCAUAGCACUCCUGAGAUAACCCCAAAGGCCUUAGGUGCCACUAAGAUAAGCAAGAAAGUAGUAGAGAGGUGGACGAGAAAGAGAAGCAGAAGGAUGCAUUCACAAUGAAGAGAGUCAGAACUGGAGACCUGAGGGUAGUGAGGAACAGCCCGAUGUGAGUAGCCAGUGAUGCCACCUAAGGCUAUGGUGAGGUCCUGGCCCAUGCAGCUACCAAGGGCCAUGUCUGGGUCCAAGGCUUGGCAGCAGCAGGGGGUCUAUUACCACCAAAGACUAGUGGACUUCUCUGAUCCAGGCUGUUGCCUGGGGCCAUGUUGAUGCAUGAGGGAUGUGCAAGCUCCACCCCUCACCUGGGCAUCCUGGGAGAGCUGGCCCAGAAAGCAUGAGAGCAGAAAUGCUGGCCCCACACCUCACCAGCUAUAGCACUUAGGAGAAUAGGUUCUGCAUUUAGCCCAGAAAGCAAGGUAGAGCUGGUCCGGGUUGCUGGGAUUGCAGUGAGCCAGGGCAUGGGAGCAGGAGAGCUGAUUCUGCCCCUUGCAACAUUGGGUGAACAGCUGGGGGAGUGCUGGAGAGCUCGCUGGAGUGGCAUAGGUGCAAGAGAGCUGAUGGACUGACCAGCUCAGCUACCAACCAGGCCCAGAUCCAGGGCUUUGAGAUAGGCCACACCAUUAUCUACCCCCAUCUAUGAGCUGCUAGAAUGCAUGAAGAGGGCUGGUCCAAAGCUGCAGGAUCUCCAUAACACGCGGCAACAACAGAAUAAUUGAGAAGAGUCCUGAUGAAGAUCCAGAAUGGACCGUGUAGCAGAAGCCAGAGACCUCACACCAGACCAGUGACUCAUUGUAGUAAACAUUUGCAAGUAAAGAAGUGUAGACAGAAGAGUACAUUGUGGGACACACUAUGACACUACAACCUCACGAAGAGAUUUUUUUUUCUUUUGUCAGGAGGUUGCAAGGGAAGAGUGCGUACAAAAGGACGAUAAGAUGAGUGGAAUUGGGGUGCACGGUAUGAAAUUCACAAUCAAUAAAACAUUAAAUAAAAUGGAGAAUGCAUGGAGGUCCUUGUGCUCACAAAUAAACACACUGGGUUGUCUCUUCAAAGGGAGGAAUAUAUAACCUGUUUUAAAUGUUCUCCAUAAAGGGGCCACUUCAAUUUACAGUGGGUAAAACUGUGAGGAAAAACAAAAACCAAAUUGUGGAAGUAGCCAAGCUUCAGGCUCGUAGCAGUGCCGCUGCCUAACUCAGGCUAUGUCAGCAGAUUCCCCUCCCCACUGGGCCAGAGAUGAGCGGCAGAACUGGAGGGCUCUGAAUACUGGUCACACAGGAAGGCCAGCCCUGAACACACUUAGCUUAGUACCCACAAGAAAUGGCUUCAGAGUCUAUUUACCUGGCUCUGCCAAGAUGUGUUCAGCUGACAAUUUCUUUAAUGGUCCUGCAAUACAUUACUGAAUUCCAGAUUGCAAAAUAAUCAGCAGGAUUUCAUACCCCCUUUUUUGGGCUUUUUGCAUUAGCUUCUAUGUGCUUCCAGUUACCAGCACAAGUAGUUCCUUGUUUAGGAAACCAAGGAUUGAAUUUUUACAGUCACUUACAAAAUGCAGAGCUAUUGGUCUUAAUAAUUUGUUUCUCUGGAUCUUGACAAACAUCUCAAUAACUAUAAAAUGUUUUACCCCAGAAGACUGAGAAGAACCCAUGCUUAUUUCCCUCUGUCAGUUACAGUUGGGACCCUUUGAGUAAGAGGACUAAACUACUCUCCACUUCUAUUUACAGAAAUUUUUUUCUUACCUUCUCCCAGAGUCAAGCCCUACACAUUGGGCAGCCGUUGUAGGGGUCUGUGACCAUCAGAGUGAUGAGCCGACAGAGUAACGAUCCAAGAAGGCAGUUCAGCUCAGCAUGACUCAGUAGCUGGUGCUGCUUCAAACCUCAAGAGUCUGACUGUGUGUGGUUUAUUUCAGGGAUAUUUAAGCACAGCACAAUUUGGUAUAAGUUUUUUAGUGAUAAUUAGCUCAAUUCCAAAUGCACAACAAAGCUUAAGACAUGACUACAUCAAAACUCUUUGUAAAGUAUAGGUGACAUCUUUCAUAAAGAUAGGUCCUAAUAGAUUGGCUGAGAAAAACAAGCUCCUAAGGGUCUCAGGGAGGAUUCAGUGUGGUUUUGGCCACACAAAUAGCACAAAGGUUACCAGGCUAUUAGUCAUGUCCACUCCCAGCCUUCUGGGUGAAAAACAGUAUACAUCUCUCCCUUUGAAGAGACCAUGUGUUUAACAUUACCCGUUCUCAACCUGUGAGUCAUGACCCCUUUGGGAAACCUCUAUCUCCAAAAUUAUUUACGAUUCGUAACUAGCAAAACUACAGUUAUUAAGUAGCAAUUAAAAUAUCUUGGGGGUGGAGAGGUCACCACAGGCUGAGGAACUGUAUUAAAGGGUCACAUCAUUGGGAAGAAGGAGAACCACUGCCCAUGUGUUAUCUCUGAACAUAAGGACAUCUAUGUCUCCUACAGGAAAACAUCCCUCUGCUCUCUGCCCUGAAUCAGUAUACUAAGCAUGCUCUUAUUUACACAAAUUGUCUGUACUAUAUCAUACACCUAUAUGUCAUAUUGAAAACCAGAAGCAUAAUGAUUCAAUCACUGCUCUCAAGAAGGACAAAAUCUAAAGAAUUCACAACACCUCUUAUAGAAUCUGCUAAGACAUUCCUCAACUGUGUAUCUUCAUUCUGAAAAUAAACACUGAUGAGAAAAGUUAUGGA